rnacentral:rRNA from 1 species
GACGAACGCUGGCGGCGUGCUUAACACAUGCAAGUCGAACGGAAAGGCCCUGCUUUUGUGGGGUGCUCGAGUGGCGAACGGGUGAGUAACACGUGAGUAACCUGCCCUUGACUUUGGGAUAACUUCAGGAAACUGGGGCUAAUACCGGAUAGGAGCUCCUGCUGCAUGGUGGGGGUUGGAAAGUUUCGGCGGUUGGGGAUGGACUCGCGGCUUAUCAGCUUGUUGGUGGGGUAGUGGCUUACCAAGGCUUUGACGGGUAGCCGGCCUGAGAGGGUGACCGGCCACAUUGGGACUGAGAUACGGCCCAGACUCCUACGGGAGGCAGCAGUGGGGAAUAUUGCACAAUGGGCGGAAGCCUGAUGCAGCAACGCCGCGUGCGGGAUGACGGCCUUCGGGUUGUAAACCGCUUUCGCCUGUGACGAAGCGUGAGUGACGGUAAUGGGUAAAGAAGCACCGGCUAACUACGUGCCAGCAGCCGCGGUGAUACGUAGGGUGCGAGCGUUGUCCGGAUUUAUUGGGCGUAAAGGGCUCGUAGGUGGUUGAUCGCGUCGGAAGUGUAAUCUUGGGGCUUAACCCUGAGCGUGCUUUCGAUACGGGUUGACUUGAGGAAGGUAGGGGAGAAUGGAAUUCCUGGUGGAGCGGUGGAAUGCGCAGAUAUCAGGAGGAACACCAGUGGCGAAGGCGGUUCUCUGGGCCUUUCCUGACGCUGAGGAGCGAAAGCGUGGGGAGCGAACAGGCUUAGAUACCCUGGUAGUCCACGCUGUAAACGGUGGGUACUAGGUGUGGGGUCCAUUCCACGGGUUCCGUGCCGUAGCUAACGCUUUAAGUACCCCGCCUGGGGAGUACGGCCGCAAGGCUAAAACUCAAAGGAAUUGACGGGGCCCCGCACAAGCGGCGGAGCAUGCGGAUUAAUUCGAUGCAACGCGUAGAACCUUACCUGGGUUUGACAUGGAUCGGGAGUGCUCAGAGAUGGGUGUGCCUCUUUUGGGGUCGGUUCACAGGUGGUGCAUGGCUGUCGUCAGCUCGUGUCGUGAGAUGUUGGGUUAAGUCCCGCAACGAGCGCAACCCUUGUUCACUGUUGCCAGCACGUUAUGGUGGGGACUCAGUGGAGACCGCCAGGGUCAACUCGGAGGAAGGUGGGGAUGACGUCAAGUCAUCAUGCCCCUUAUGUCCAGGGCUUCACGCAUGCUACAAUGGCUGGUACAGAGAGUGGCGAGCCUGUGAGGGUGAGCGAAUCUCGGAAAGCCGGUCUCAGUUCGGAUUGGGGUCUGCAACUCGACCUCAUGAAGUCGGAGUCGCUAGUAAUCGCAGAUCAGCAACGCUGCGGUGAAUACGUUCCCGGG